rnacentral:rRNA from 1 species
CCUACGGGGGGCUGCAGUGGGGGAUAUUGCACAAUGGGGGGAACCCUGAUGCAGCGACGCCGCGUGGGUGAAGGAGCGUUUCGGCGCGUAAAGCCCUAUCGGCAGGGAAGAAGAUGACGGUACCUGACCAAGAAGCCCCGGCUAACUACGUGCCAGCAGCCGCGGUAAUACGUAGGGGGCAAGCGUUAUCCGGAUUUACUGGGUGUAAAGGGGGCGCAGACGGCAAUGCAAGCCAGGAGUGAAAGCCCGGGGCCCAACCCCGGGACUGCUCUUGGAACUGCAUGGCUGGAGUACAGGAGGGGCAGGCGGAAUUCCUAGUGUAGCGGGGAAAUGCGUAAAUAUAUGUAAGAACACCAGUGGCGAAGGCGGCUUGCUGGGUCGAUACUGACAUUGAGGCACGAAAGCGUGGGGAGCAAACAGGAUUAGAUACCCUAGUAGUC